ACACAAGCAGGCAUGUAGAGGCAGACAAGGCUGGAAAGAAGAACGGCCCCAGCCAGGGAGGCUUGGACAAUCAACUAGGCAGCUGUUCAGUGAUUCCACGACCAAGCCCCAGGCCAGGCUGCUCCUAUAGAGCUUCUGGGAUAAGACUCAGGUAUCAGAGUUCAAGGUAACUUGGCUGGCAGAGCAGAUGCUUGAGACGAGGUUUGGAGGAGCAUGUGUGGAAGAACAGCACAUAUGAAAGUGCACACGUCUGGGAAAGGGUGGAGCCUUCUGAGACCAACGCGGCUGGAACCUCAAGACGCGUGCAAAAGAGCAAAUGCAGGUUCAAGAGAACCAUGUGAUUCAUUAAAGGCCACAGCAAGCAAGUGGGCAGAUCAGGUCUCUGACUCUCAACCGCGUAGAAUUUCCAUGACCUCUUAGUGGCCUAGAAAAGUAGGACUUGCACUUGCGCCUGGUCGAACCAGAAUGCUUUCCUUUAAAGGAAUGAGGAGGGUGGUGAUGCACCAAGGAACCGACAGCUGCUCUCCACAGUGACGCAGCCAUGCUGGACAAGUUCAGACUAAACACAUAUACAUCAUUGUCUUCAUGUGUGCUUCUAAUGUGUCCGCAUCAAACUCUGGAUAGGACUCCUGGGGACAGUAAAUGGGGCUGAGACCACCUCGAAGUAAUUUGGAACGUGCGUACCUGUCAUCCGCCUGUCAGUCUUCCUGGAGUAGCGUCGGGGCAAGUCCAUGGGGGCAAUGAUUCCAUGUUUCCAUACAACCUCUAAAUGCAUCCUGCAUGACCUGGGCCCAGGCCAGCACACCAGAUCCCACUUCUAAGAAGAGAGCAUAUCAUGUGGCUGACAAGAAUUCCAGUGAAAAGAGCUGGUCACCUCUUAGCUUCUUUAAUUGUUCCUCAUAAGGGACAUUUAUGAUAUAACGAUGGGUUUUUGGAGGAACUCACAUUCAGACAGUAAUUUACUUGGUGGGGGGGGGACCUAUAAA